AAGAAUCACGGAUUAGAUUAAUCCGAUCUAGUAUAAACAUUGGUGCUGUAGGGGUACCAAUUUUGUUUGGGGUACCAACCAAAGGGUAUUUAAGUCAAUGCGCCCUUGUUAAGUGCAGGGUGCUUGGGUAAGAAAUUACACAAACCCUAUCAAAAUCCCUUUUUCCGGAGGUCAUCUAAUAUAUUCAGUACCUCCCUCUUCUACAGUCCUGUUCGUUUUCAAGCUAGGGUUUUAUAGAGGCUGGUUAGAUAUACAUAUAAUUUGGAUUUCUAAGGAACCAAGAUUUGUUGUUUUACUUUCCAACAGUUUGUUAUAUUGUUUGUUGAUUUGUUUGCUUUGUAUUUCAAUGUUGCAUCAAACAUCAAUUAGGGGUAUGCUUCAUCUCAUCAUCUUAGAUGCUGAUUUAUUUUCUUGGAUGUCAUUAUUUUCUUGCUUUGCAUAAUAAAAGAUUGAAUCUACAGUCAUGAAUGGCAAUGAUGAAAAAAAGGCCGGUCUUACAGCUGUCUUGGGUUCAAUCCCAAUUUGGUAGUAGAAUGAUACAAAACUUUCAGAAGGUGUUUUCUGAGCCAUAUAUUAUAUGCACUUGUCUUUAUCGUGAAUAUGCCUAGUUCCACGAUUCACUUUCUAACUAUCUUCUUGUUUACCACUACUUUACAUGCUGUUUUGCACUUUCAGUUUACAUCUCAACUUAGUCAUUUGCAAGAAUGAACCAUCUGUGAGUAAUUAAACACUUUUCUCACUGAUAGCGCUGAGAAAAGGACUGCAGGUUCUGAGCAAGUGCCAUGAUUUUCGCAUUUGAAGGAUAUGCAGGCAUGAUGGGUUCCAUUAUUUUGUUUUACAUAGGCUACUCACAGGCCUUAACCCGUUGUCGGCCGAGUAAUUUCUGUGCAGUAUACUGGAGUGUUUGUUGUACUAAACAUAAGCAUUAGUACUACUGCAUUAAUUGACGGUACAAAAAAUUUGUGAUAUUGUGAGUAAGCAACUGGUAUUGUUUGUUGAUUUCUUUGAUUUGUAUUCAUUUCUCUUAAUGUUGCAUCAAGCAACAAUUAGUCCUUAGAUGGUAAUCAGUUGAUUUAUCUUCUUCAGUUUCAUUGAAUGGCAGUGAUGAAAAAAAGGCCGGUCUUACAGCUGCCUUGGGUUUAAUCCCAAUUGGUAGUAGAAUGAUACAAAACUUUCAUAAGGUGUUUUCUGAGCCAUAUAUCUAUGUCAAGCGUUACCAUAUAUGGCUACUAUCUUACUGUUUAUCACCAUGCUGUUUUGCACUUUCUGUUUACAUCUCAACUUUGUAAUUUUCAAAAUUGAACCAUCUGCGAGUACACAACUAAACGAUAAGUAAUUGCCAUGAUUUUCACAUUUGAAGGGUAUGCAUGUAGGUCAGUUAUCAUGUUUUACAUUGUUGUCAAAAGAUUGCUUUCUUCUUCAGAGGUUACUGACAGGCCUUCAGAACCGAUGUGGUUGAGUAAUUUUUGUGCACUAGAGAGUUUGUUGUAAACAACUGCAUCAAUUGACAGUACAAAAAGUUUGUGAGUUCGCGAUACUGACCUCACCCUGACUCCCAAGGUUUUUACCCUUGGUGCCGAUUCUCUUGGCAUAGUAUGCUACAAUUUAUAGGUGGUUUAGUUGUUUUGAAAUCAAUAUAUGAGAUUCGACAAUACAAAUCCCUUCAUUGUGUUGUAGUUUGACGUGGAAUCAAGUAUGAUUUUGACAAUGUGGAUUGUGGUUAUUUGCAAGGUAGAGAUUAAAGUCGUUAGAGGUGGGGUUCUGUAUCAGCGUAGAAGGAGAUGACCACGACAUCUUGCUGUUGUAUGCAAUUUUUUACCAUAUAAAAAUGGUCUAAUAUUUAAUUUACCUUGAUGGAUUGUUUCCAAUUAGGCAGUUGUAGACCCUAAAUUGCUAGCAUAUGGUUUAGAUAUAUUGGUCAUGUAUCUGUGCAGCUGCAGGUUAACCUCACAGAAUAAAAGCGCAAUGUCUGCAUCGAUGGUAAAAGGUUCUUCAUCCAGACCUGGAUAAGAAACCAUGGGCCGUAGAGGAAGAUGGUAAAAUCAUGGACCUGGUCACCCACAAAAUGGUCUGUCAUAGCGAAAGGCUUGGCAGGUCACAUAAGGAAGCAAUGCUGAGAAAGGUAACCAACUCGAAGAAAGUUAGGUUUUCAGUGCUCAAGUAACCAACUCAAUAAGAAUCUCAGGAAUAUCUCUUCGAGGAAAAAGUUAGAUUUUCAUUGCCAUGUUUUAUGUUCUUGAAUCUUUCAUGGUGCCACUCCACUCAGCGUUGCUCAACCUAAAUUAGACUGUAUUCUUAGGUGAGAAGCAUGGGUUAUUGUCAAUUAAGACUUGAAAUUAAUCCAUAGAGAAGUCAUGAUGAAAGUUUCCCACGCAUGCAGGUGUUGCUAUUCAGCUGCCGCCUUGGUACAAUUUUUCAAGUGAGUUUCUAGUGAGUUAUGUAACUGUACAAUUCUAGCAGAGUUAUGUUACUUGUGUAACUGAUGGAUAUAUGUAUGUUUCCAUAGAGAAAUUUGAUUUAUAUGGAUUAUGACAAAAUUGAAGGACUUGCAAUAACAUGGCCUGUUAUGGCAUUGUUUGCUUGAACAUGGC